GUGGCUUUCUUGCUUCCGACGGAUUUCUUCGCUGCCACAGCCUCCUCAACCGCAUCCCCAUCUUCAGUCUCACUAGCGCGCCGGCCCUGAUUCUUUCUCUGAUGAUUUGGGGCCACUCUGGGAGCUGGGUCAUCCGGGGAUUUCCUCUUCUUCGACGAAUCAGACAGUUGGAGAUGAUCAACACUCGCAGGAUCACAGGGAGUUACAGCACCGGCGACGGCAGCGGAGUUGCAGUUGAUUGAAUUAUCAGUAUAACUAGUAAAAUCCUGGUCCAGCUCCUGGCCCUGAUCCCACCAUUGAUAGCUGCUGAUAUCGCCGGAGCCGUAGGGAUCAUCCAAGAAAGACGGAAGAAACGAAACCGAAUCCUCCAGCCAAUCCAGGAUGUGAUCAGAAGUGGGGUUAGGCUCAGGUUCUUCAAUGGUCAUUGUGGGGGAAAAAUAAGACGAAGAAGAGAAGGGGUGUAGAACUGUUUGAUCAUUGACCAAAGAGGAAGAUAAGAGAGGGUGUGAAACACCAUUAAAAUAAUGAAAUGGGGGGUGAUGGUUUUUUGGAAGAGACGAUGGAGAGCAUAUUGAAGUAGGUGGGGGUGGUGUGUACUUGGAAGAUGUGAUGUUGUUAUUAAGGUUUUUUUAAAGCCUAUAAGAGGGUAGAAACAUGGGUUUCUUUGUUUUUUUGUUGGGGUAUUAACUUAUUCAUUUGUAUAUGUCAUGGUGAUGGAGAUCCGCCAAACUUGAUUGGAGAUGGUGAGGGGCUUUAAAAGUUGGAGAGAGCGACGGGGUUGAGUUUGAAUUUUCAAGAGACGGCAAACUCUGCUUCACCAUUUAAAUAUUCAAGGCUUUUGUCACCUUCCUUCCUCUGUUUUCUUUGAAUUUUCUCUGAUUAAAAACCUAAAAAUUAAAGAAUUAACUUGAAUAAUCAAACAUACAUUUCAAUCACAAAUUCAUAAAUUUAAAGAUGUGUCACACAAAAAUUACUAAGUAAAUAAUACAACUUAAUCUAGAAAAAUUUCAAUACUUAGUUAUUAAUCAAACAUAAUUAAAACACCCCCUAACCACAAGUUAAUUAUCAAUUUCUUAACCAACUAUAUAAUUAAUUAUUAUAAAAUUUUGUUAUUAUUAUAAAUCUUGUUAUUUUGAAGUAUUUAGAAACUUGUUACAUUAAUUUUUUUUCUCCAAAUGAUUAGUUUUCAAAUAUUUUUAAUUUAAUUAUAUAAAAUAAGAAGAAACGUAAUCAUUAACACCAUUAUUGGGUGCUUUUAGCAUAUAAAAAAACUAAUUUAGUAUUUAAUAACAUUCAAAUAUUAAUAAAAUAAAAGAACUUUAGCACUUAACAAUGUUUAAAUAUAUAAAACGUAAUCCCCUAACAAGGUCUUUCCAAUGUUUUCAAAAUCAAAUGCUCAUUCAACCAAUAAUGUUAUUAAAUUAUGUUUGGUUCAUUGGUAAAUGUGGUUAAAUCAUGAUGUUCAUAUGACAUCAUAAAUAUGUAAUUUAUAUUUUAUUAAAAUUAAAAUAAUUGUAAGGAAUUUAUAUAUAUAUAUAAUUAAAAUAAUUAAAAAAUUAAUAAUAUUGUAUUUUUAUACUUACUAUUAUCAUAUUAAAUCAUAAUAAGAAUAAAUAUAAAAAAUAUUAAUAUUUUUAAUUUGAUUAUAUAAAAUAUAUAUAAUAUUUAAGUGUGAAGAUGUAUUCAAGGUGGAAAAAAAUUUAUUGUUUAAUUUUAUUCACAUGUCGAAAGUUAUACAUCCUGUUAUUUUAUAAUUUUAAAAAUAUUAUAUUAUUUAAUUUUUUAUAAUUUCGAUAUUUAUCAUUGUAAAUGAAGUUAAAUAUUUAUAUUUAUUUAAAAUUUUUAACUAAAAGAAAAUUUUAAAAACAUAAAAAACCAAGAUUACAUCCAAGAUUUGAAAUAUCGAUAAAUACGAAUAUAUCGAUACUUUGGAUUUUAUGGAUAAAUUAGAAUGUCGAAGAAAUAUUAGUUGGAUAUUUUGAUAAAAAUAUCGGUAAGAUAAAAAUGAUUCAAAAUUCAUGGAAAUAUUUUGAGAAACUCCAAAAAAUGAUAAAAUAAAUAAAAAUAUAUAUGUUAAAAGUUAUUUUUUAAGUGUAAUUGACAUAAGUAUGGUUAAAGAGAAAACUAUCGGUAAACAAAGAUACGUCAAUAUUAAUAAUUUAUUAUUUAUUUAACCAAUUUUAAUUUAUAAAAUAUUUGAACUUAAUUUUUUUUUAUUUUAUAUUUUAACAUUUUUUGAAUAAAAUUAUAUUUCUAAUAUUUUAAAAUAAAAACAUUCAAAAUUAAAAAGGAUAAAUAUAAAAAAUUUAAAGGUGAAGUAAUAGUAAUUUUUUAAAAUAGAAUUAAUGAGAUAACGAUGAUACAUUUAAUAUUAAAACUAUAAUUUAAAUAAUUUAAAUGUAUUGAAAAAUAUAAAAUAAAUGAUGAUACAUAUAUGAAUUUUUAAUAUUUAUAUUUUUAUAUAUUUAAUUAUCAUAUAAAUGAUAUUAAAAAACACUUGUUAAGAAAAUUGUAAUGGUGGUUUUUAUAUAUUUAUUAAUUAAUUAAAUAAAAUUUUAAAUAGCAUAAUUAGAAUUUAUUUAUUUAUUUUUUAAUAAUAAACUUUAAGAUAUUUAUUAUGUAUAUAUAUAUUGAAAAGAUGGUCUAGUGGUAAACAAGCUUGAAAUCCUCGAAAGCCUUUUGGCCUAAGUUUGAAUCUUGGCAAUAGUAGGGCUAAAAAAAAAUUCAAAUUUAUGCCUUUGCAGCGGGCUGGGCAUUGCAACCAAGCCUUUACAAAAACAAGAGUGAAAUCUGGGCCAUCAGAUGUUAAAAAAAAUUAAAUUUAGCCAUUGGAUGCAAAGGGUAAAGGCACCAAAAAAUUAGCGAUUCUUUGGUACCACCCUUGCUUGACGGGCGAGUCACCUCAUACCCGAUUUUUUUCACUGAUAUAUCUCUCUACAACCGAUAUUUCGACGAUUUUCCCAAUUUUCCUCUUGACCGAUAAUCGGUGGCUGAUAUUGUUUCGACCACCUCCUAUAUUUGAUUUAUCGAUGAAAAAAUUCAAUAUUUCAAACUUCAAUAUUACAUCAACAUUUAUUUUAACAAAAAAAUUAUAAGAGGCCUUGUGCUCACCCCUCCUCUUUCUUUCUAGUGGAGACCAAGGGUCUAUUCCUUAUCAUCGCAAUACGAAAUUCUCUAAUUUUCACACUUGAAAACAUAUAAAAAAAAUAAGGGUUUUAAGGACUUGUUAAUUGUUUAUAAAAACCGUUUUUGUUUUUAAAAAUAGAAAAUAUAUGAGCCUAUUUGGUUGUGUAAUUUAAAAACGGUUUUUUGUUUUUAAAAAUAUAAAAUUAUUUUUAUUUUUUUAAAAAAAUGUUUUGUUGUUGCUCUUUGAAAACAAUUUUUAAAAAUAAAGUGAAGUGAAAAAUAAUUUUUAUAGAACAAGUAUGAGUUGUUUUCAUCUCUUUUUAAAAAAUAAAAGAAAAAUAAGAACCCAUUUGACCAUAUGAAAUUUGUUUUUAAAAAUAUUUUUGAAUUAUUUUUACCUGAUUUUUUAGGGUUAUUUUAAAAAAUAAUUGUGCAAAUAUGGAGAAGGAUUAAAAAGGAAUCGACCUCCAUAGGAAAUUCAUAUUUUAGCGUUUCUCUACCCUUCUAAAAUCCCAUCCCACAUCGACAAGUCACGAAAGAAAUGAGGUAUUUAAGUCACAAGCACGCUACAGGCCGUCUAUGUCUGGGCCUACAUUUUAUGUUAAUAAGGCGUGUAGUUACGAGGAGGAGAUGCUGUCAGAGGGGGCAUGGGGAGACGAGGGAGACAAAGGAGGCACCGUGAAGAGGGGUUUGGGUAUUGUUUUUGGUAUAUUUUCACCUUCCAAUAUUUGGAAUUGCUCGGUUAAACCGAGGUGUGACAUAAGAAGGGAGACAUGAGUGAGCAGCUCGCCGCCUCGUCCAAGUUGUUGACCGUGUUGAAUCCAUCCACAAUGACUAGCAGCAUGACAUAACAUCUCCACCCACACGUGACUGACCAUCAUCCAUUUCUCUCCCAUCUCCAUAUUCAGUGAUUUCAACUCCUUGGCAAGCCUACAUGCCUCGAAUAACACCGACUUGCUUUUAUCUCCUUUCACCUCUUUGGGCUGAACUUCUGUGUCAACUUCAAGCAACAAUCUGCAAGCUUCAUUUCUGUUAGAUAUGGACUCGCUUCUUUGCUGGACGAAUCUUUUGGUCUCUGAACAAGUGUCUCGGAAUCUAUACUCCCCUAUCCCUUUUGGCAGCAUAAAUGGACACAUGACUAGCAGAUACAACAUAUACUCAGACAAGCAUUUGCUUAUUUUGCAUAUUGAUUUAGGAUUGGGGUCAUCAUCAGAAUAGCUACAGAGAUCUGUUGCAAUAUGCCAAAGGAGGAUGCUGUGAUCAAAUUCCACGUCAACUAUACUCCAACCAAGUGUCUCAAUAAACCCCCUUUUUGUAAUCACAUAAUCACCUCUGUGUUUGAGUAGUGACCUGAGAUCCCUGACAUCAUUUGUCAUCUCUAGGAGCAAGCUGAAGAUGGGUUCCUUCAUGUCAUCCACCUUCUCCCAAGUCAUGUACCAGUACCUCUCUAAGAAUUUGUUCAUGUCAAGGAACCUGGGAACCUGAUUGAACUUGGUUUUGUCUCUGAGGCAAGAAUCAAUUAAAUUGUUCUGUGCCAUGCGUCUAGACCAUCUCUUGUCACUGGUUAUAACUGAUCUAAAAGAGGUAAUGGCUCGGUAAAUGGAAUCAGCCAGGGAGUUCAUCUUGCUGCUCAACCAGACAAUGCUCCAGUCGGACAAAAUCAGCUUAGUGACGGCAUAAACCUCAAGAAAAAUAGCUCCAAAGAGUAAUAAGUAAGUAAUGUCGAUGUCAAUGUUUGAGAACUCGUGCUUAUCGAUGAAGAAGUAGAAGGCUGCUAAGGUAGAAAUAGUGAAGGAGAAGCUGGUGGAACGGAGCAGAAUGCCAAGUAGAGAAUAAAUCACUGUUGCCUUGGUGUAUAGCACAUCAUACAUAAAAUUGAGCUCCAUCUCCACCACUUUGAAGGCGUCUUCGGAUGACAUGUACCUGAUGAUGCCCUCACUGGUUUUUUGGUCAUCCAAGCUGAGGAUGAGGUCUGCAUAUAGAUGCUUGAAUUGGUUCUUGAAUAAGAAGUAAGCUUUGUCAAUAUAGUUUCUACUAGGAACAGUAAUGCCAUCACCAACGGUAGAUUGAGGUGGCUUUUCACCAAUCUCCCUUCCUGUUCUAUCAACCUGCCGUUCAUCUUUCCAUGAACUAUAUCCCUUCAUGAAAUCAGCAUAAUCAGGUCCAGGAUCAGGAACUGGAAGCAAAGAAUCUCUAAAGUGAUUCUUGCUUGCAGACCUGAGAACACGGGUCCUCUCUCCACACUUGAUAAUUCCAGCCACCAACAUUGGAAUGGACAGAAAUGUGAGUCGUGUUCCAGCCCAAGACCUCAUAAACACGUAGAAAGCCACUCCAACUUGUACAACCGAUCCAAGCAAGUGCCUUAACCACAACUCAUUAUCUUCUAAAGAGUAAGCGGUGAUGUUAUCCGGGCCGCCAAGGUGCAAGAGGAGGAAUGGUGCCCAAAAUGCCAUGAGGGUAUAGUUUGGAUCUAGAAGUUUACCUUCCGAAUCUCCUUGGCUGUUGGAGAGGGUACCAAGGGAUACUGUGGCCACCCAGUCUGCCGACAAGUAUGCCGACCAAAUCAGGAUUCUGAUCCAAGGUCUAAAUGUGUACUUUCGUCGGUUGCUAAAGAUGAUGAGGACAAUUUGUAGGAAGAGGCUGAGUAGAACCAUAAAGCGUAGCUCCCAUUCAUUCCAAAGUUUGCGUAGCUCGCCUCUUCUCCAUCAAGAUCAAACUACUAGCAACUAAACAUUCAAAAACAUUAGGGCUAAAAAGGAAGACUAAAAGAUAGAUUGUUGGAAAAAUGAUAUCGACUUACAUGUGACUAGCAUUGUUACGUUGGCUGGUUUUUCACACUAAGAAGUUGAGUGAAGCUCAACUAGAACAGAUUUUGGGAACUAAUUUUUGAGGUCAUUUCAAUGUUACUGCCUCACAAUUGUAACUUCUUAUGCCCAUCCAUAAGGGAAAAACAGAAAGAACAAAAAUUUAUUCAUGGGAUAGAAAACACUAGUUUAAGCCAUUAAACGAACUCAAUAUUCUCCGAGUCAAUCGAUUCAAUCCAUUUCAGAAAUUUAAAGCGUCUAAUACUACCACUACUACGAUUAAUAAUAAUAAUAAUAAUAAUAAUAAUAACUCGGUUCGAAAGCAAAAUAAGAAGGGAAAAAUACCAGAGUGUGAAUGUGUGAUGGUGGUGGGUUGGUUGGUGCUGCUGCCUGAGAUUUCGUGAGACUAGGAUUGCCAUGGAGGUGGUGGCCUGUUUGAACUACAAUGCAGGAUGUGAUCAGAAGUGGGGUUAGGCUCAGGUUCUUCAAUGGUCAUUGUGAGGGAAAAAUAAUGGAUGAAGAAGAGAAGGGGUGUAGAACUGUUUGAUCAUUGGCCAAAGAGGAAGAUAAGAGAGGGUGUGAAACACCAUUAAAAUAAUGAAAUGGGGGGUGAUGGUUUUUUGGAAGAGACGAUGGAGAGCAUAUUGAAGUUGGUGGGGGUGGCGUGUAUUUGGAAGAUGUGAUGUUGUUAUUAAGGUUUUUUUAAAGCCUAUAAGAGGGUAG
rnacentral:lncRNA from 1 species